rnacentral:misc_RNA from 1 species
AGUUCCACUGCUUGAGUUUGUCUCCACAAAUGUUGUAAAAUAAGAUCACCAAGGACGUAUUUACAAAUUUGGUGUUUCCAUUAAUAUGAGUGUGUGUUGUGCUGCUAUAAUUUAAUGAGUCAAAUGUCCUUCACAAGGAAUUUUUUUUAUUGAAUAUCUAAAACAGGAAAAAAUAAAAAUCAUGCACCAUAGUGUUAGAAGAAAGCCAAGUACAAAGUCCAUUGACAAAUCUUCUCAAAUAUUU